rnacentral:rRNA from 1 species
GCUUACGGCCAUACCAACCUGGCUAUGCCCGAUCUCGUCUGAUCUCGGGAAGCUAAGCAGGUUUGGGCCCUGGUUAGUACUUGGAUGGGGAGACCGCCUGGGAUCCAGGUGCUGAAGCU